rnacentral:rRNA from 1 species
GAUGAACGCUGGCGGCGUGCCUAAUACAUGCAAGUCGAGCGAACAGAUAAGGAGCUUGCUCCUUUGACGUUAGCGGCGGACGGGUGAGUAACACGUGGGUAACCUACCUAUAAGACUGGGAUAACUUCGGGAAACCGGAGCUAAUACCGGAUAACAUUUGGAACCGCAUGGUUCUAAAGUGAAAGAUGGUUUUGCUAUCACUUAUAGAUGGACCCGCGCCGUAUUAGCUAGUUGGUAAGGUAACGGCUUACCAAGGCGACGAUACGUAGCCGACCUGAGAGGGUGAUCGGCCACACUGGAACUGAGACACGGUCCAGACUCCUACGGGAGGCAGCAGUAGGGAAUCUUCCGCAAUGGGCGAAAGCCUGACGGAGCAACGCCGCGUGAGUGAUGAAGGGUUUCGGCUCGUAAAACUCUGUUAUUAGGGAAGAACAAACGUGUAAGUAACUAUGCACGUCUUGACGGUACCUAAUCAGAAAGCCACGGCUAACUACGUGCCAGCAGCCGCGGUAAUACGUAGGUGGCAAGCGUUAUCCGGAAUUAUUGGGCGUAAAGCGCGCGUAGGCGGUUUCUUAAGUCUGAUGUGAAAGCCCACGGCUCAACCGUGGAGGGUCAUUGGAAACUGGGAAACUUGAGUGCAGAAGAGGAAAGUGGAAUUCCAUGUGUAGCGGUGAAAUGCGCAGAGAUAUGGAGGAACACCAGUGGCGAAGGCGACUUUCUGGUCUGUAACUGACGCUGAUGUGCGAAAGCGUGGGGAUCAAACAGGAUUAGAUACCCUGGUAGUCCACGCCGUAAACGAUGAGUGCUAAGUGUUAGGGGGUUUCCGCCCCUUAGUGCUGCAGCUAACGCAUUGAGCACUCCGCCUGGGGAGUACGACCGCAAGGUUGAAACUCAAAGGAAUUGACGGGGACCCGCACAAGCGGUGGAGCAUGUGGUUUAAUUCGAAGCAACGCGAAGAACCUUACCAAAUCUUGACAUCCUUUGAAAACUCUAGAGAUAGAGCCUUCCCCUUCGGGGGACAAAGUGACAGGUGGUGCAUGGUUGUCGUCAGCUCGUGUCGUGAGAUGUUGGGUUAAGUCCCGCAACGAGCGCAACCCUUAAGCUUAGUUGCCAUCAUUAAGUUGGGCACUCUAGGUUGACUGCCGGUGACAAACCGGAGGAAGGUGGGGAUGACGUCAAAUCAUCAUGCCCCUUAUGAUUUGGGCUACACACGUGCUACAAUGGACAAUACAAAGGGCAGCUAAACCGCGAGGUCAUGCAAAUCCCAUAAAGUUGUUCUCAGUUCGGAUUGUAGUCUGCAACUCGACUACAUGAAGCUGGAAUCGCUAGUAAUCGUAGAUCAGCAUGCUACGGUGAAUACGUUCCCGGGUCU